rnacentral:rRNA from 1 species
UACGAAGGGGGGCUAGCGUUGCUCGGAAUCACUGGGCGUAAAGGGCGCGUAGGCGGCCAUUCAAGUCGGGGGGUGAAAGCCUGUGGCUCAACCACAGAAUUGCCUUCGAUACUGUUUGGCUUGAGUUUGGUAGAGGUUGGUGGAACUGCGAGUGUAGAGGUGAAAUUCGUAGAUAUUCGCAAGAACACCAGUGGCGAAGGCGGCCAACUGGACCAACACUGA